rnacentral:rRNA from 1 species
UACGUAGGGUGCGAGCGUUAAUCGGAAUUACUGGGCGUAAAGCGCGCGCAGGCGGUUCGCCAAGUCAGGUGUGAAAUCCCCGGGCUUAACCUGGGAAUUGCGCUUGAAACUAGCGGGCUUGAGUGUGGCAGAGGGGGGUGGAAUUCCACGUGUAGCAGUGAAAUGCGUAGAGAUGUGGAGGAACACCGAUGGCGAAGGCAGCCCCCUGGGUCAACACUGACGCUCAUGCACGAAAGCGUGGGGAGCAAACAGG